UGGGGAAUAUUGCACAAUGGGCGCAAGCCUGAUGCAGCCAUGCCUCGUGUAUGAAGAAGGCCUUCGGGUUGUAAAGUACUUUCAGCGGGGAGGAAGGCGAUAAGGUUAAUAACCUUGUCGAUUGACGUUACCCGCAGAAGAAGCACCGGCUAACUCCGUGCCAGCAGCCGCGGUAAUACGGAGGGUGCAAGCGUAAAUCGGAAUUACUGGGCGUAAAGCGCACGCAGGCGGUCUGUCAAGUCGGAUGUGAAAUCCCCGGGCUCAACCUGGGAACUGCAUUCGAAACUGGCAGGCUAGAGUCUUGUAGAGGGGGGUAGAAUUCCAGGUGUAGCGGUGAAAUGCGUAGAGAUCUGGAGGAAUACCGGUGGCGAAGGCGGCCCCCUGGACAAAGACUGACGCUCAGGUGCGAAAGCGUGGGGAGCAAACA
rnacentral:rRNA from 1 species